rnacentral:rRNA from 1 species
CAGCAGCCGCGGUAACACGAAGGGUGCAAGCGUUACUCGGAAUUACUGGGCGUAAAGCGUGUGUAGGUGGUUGUUUAAGUCUGUCGUGAAAGCCCUGGGCUCAACCUGGGAAUUGCGAUGGAUACUGGGCGACUAGAGUGCGGUAGAGGAUAGUGGAAUUUCCGGUGUAGCAGUGAAAUGCGUAGAGAUCGGAAGGAACAUCUGUGGCGAAGGCGACUAUCUGGGCCAACACUGACACUGAGACACGAAAGCGUGGGGAGCAAACAGGAUUAGAUACCCGAGUAGUCCCUGUCUCUUAUAC